GGGCCCGCACAAGCGGUGGAGCAUGUGGUUUAAUUCGAUGCAACGCGAAGAACCUUACCAGGGCUUGACAUACUACGAAUUUUCUUGAAAGAGAAAAGUGCCUUCGGGAAUGUAGAUACAGGUGGUGCAUGGCUGUCGUCAGCUCGUGUCGUGAGAUGUUGGGUUAAGUCCCGCAACGAGCGCAACCCUUGUUUUUAGUUGCCAAUUUAUUGGGUUUUCUAGAAAGACUGCCGGUGACAAACCGGAGGAAGGUGAGGAUGACGUCAAGUCAGCAUGCCCCUUAUGCCUUGGGCUACACACGUGCUACAAUGGUUAAGACAAAGAGUUGCGAAACUUGCGAAAAGUCAGCUAA
rnacentral:rRNA from 1 species